CCUACGGGCGGCAGCAGUGGGGAAUAUUGGACAAUGGGCGAAAGCCUGAUCCAGCCAUGCCGCGUGUGUGAAGAAGGCCUUCGGGUUGUAAAGCACUUUCAGUGGGGAAGAAAGCCUUGGGGCUAAUACCCUCGAGGAAGGACAUCACCCACAGAAGAAGCACCGGCUAACCCCGUGCCAGCAGCCGCGGUAAUACGGAGGGUGCGAGCGUUAAUCGGAAUUACUGGGCGUAAAGCGCGCGUAGGCGGUCUGAUAAGCCGGUUGUGAAAGCCCCGGGCUCAACCUGGGAACGGCAUCCGGAACUGUCAGGCUAGAGUGCAGGAGAGGAAGGUAGAAUUCCCGGUGUAGCGGUGAAAUGCGUAGAGAUCGGGAGGAAUACCAGUGGCGAAGGCGGCCUUCUGGACUGACACUGACGCUGAGGUGCGAAAGCGUGGGUAGCAAACAGGAUUAGAUACCCCUGUAGUC
rnacentral:rRNA from 1 species